rnacentral:lncRNA from 1 species
UGAGAAGAGAGAGCCGCUAAAGGGCAGAGCAAAGACUCCAGUAACACUCAAGCAAAGGAGGAUUGAGCACAAUCAGGUGGAACCCUCACAGCAUUUUCGUGUAGAUGGUGCAGUAAUUUCAGAGAGUACUCCCAUAGCUGAGACUAUAAAGGCUUCCAGCAACGACUCCUUAGUGGCCAAUAGGUUGACUGGAAAUUUCAAGCAUGCAUCUUCUAUUCUGCCAAUCACUGAAUUCUCAGACAUAACCAGAAGAACACCAAAGAAACCAUUG